GACGUAGGGCGCGAGCGUUGUCCGGAUUUAUUGGGCGUAAAGAGCUCGUAGGCGGCUUGUCGCGUCGACUGUGAAAUCCCGCGGCUCAACCGCGGGUCUGCAGUCGAUACGGGCAGACUAGAGUGCGGUAGGGGAGACUGGAAUUCCUGGUGUAGCGGUGAAAUGCGCAGAUAUCAGGAGGAACACCGGUGGCGAAGGCGGGUCUCUGGGCCGUAACUGACGCUGAGGAGCGAAAGCGUGGGGAGCGAACAGG
rnacentral:rRNA from 1 species